GACGAACGCUGGCGGCGUGCCUAAUACAUGCAAGUUGAGCGCUGAAGGUUGGUACUUGUACCAACUGGAUGAGCAGCGAACGGGUGAGUAACGCGUGGGGAAUCUGCCUUUGAGCGGGGGACAACAUUUGGAAACGAAUGCUAAUACCGCAUAAAAACUUUAAACACAAGUUUUAAGUUUGAAAGAUGCAAUUGCAUCACUCAAAGAUGAUCCCGCGUUGUAUUAGCUAGUUGGUGAGGUAAAGGCUCACCAAGGCGAUGAUACAUAGCCGACCUGAGAGGGUGAUCGGCCCCAUUGGGACGGAGACACGGCCCAAACUCCUACGGGAGGCAGCAGUAGGGAAUCUUCGGCAAUGGACGAAAGUCUGACCGAGCAACGCCGCGUGAGUGAAGAAGGUUUUCGGAUCGUAAAACUCUGUUGGUAGAGAAGAACGUUGGUGAGAGUGGAAAGCUCAUCAAGUGACGGUAACUACCCAGAAAGGGACGGCUAACUACGUG
rnacentral:rRNA from 1 species